UACGUAGGGGGCAAGCGUUGUCCGGAUUUAUUGGGCGUAAAGCGCGCGUAGGCGGCCCGGUAAGUCCGCUGUGAAAGUCAAAGGCUCAACCUUUGAAUGUCAGCGGAUACUGCCGGGCUAGAGUCCGGAAGAGGCGAGUGGAACUCCUGGUGUAGCGGUGGAAUGCGCAGAUAUCAGGAAGAACACCAACGGCGAAGGCAGCUCGCUGGGACGGAACUGACGCUGAGGCGCGAAAGCCAGGGGAGCAAACGGG
rnacentral:rRNA from 1 species